UGGGCUUCAGUAGCGAUCGACCGGCUCUGGAGAACAUGGCGAGGAGGGGCCGUCCUCCCCCUCCCGGGAAUCUAAUGGCUCCAGCCCUGUAGGUCCAGCCCCGCAGGUCCAGCCCGGGCCGGGCUCAGCAGCUCGGGGGAUGCGGCGCGUUGCAAGUAAAGCAGCGAGAUAAAUUCCUCCCGUGCCACAAAUGAAAAGUUUUCCCUCUGAAAUCAAAGGAUCCUCUGCUGAUUCAGCCCAGGUUUGACUUCGGUUCAUAAUUCCCGAGACCAUUAUCUCUGCCUUUGUUCUUUCGAGCUGCUACAAUUAAUGGAUUACAGCAGGACAAAACCACAGCCAGACCAAGCUGCUUUCGUUCUGCAGCUAUUUACUAUUAGUACCAGCUUUGCACCCCUCGGGCUACUGUGCUAGGGAACCCAGCCCUGAGUUCUGCACGGGGGAGCUGGAUGCUGUGGAGGCCACCCUGGAUGUCGUGGUCAUGGUCACCCCUGACACGGCGGGCAUGGGCCAACAUCUGCAUCAGUGUCAGUCCCCACAUAUGCCUGGGCUGAUCACGUCCACCAUACAUUCCUACCAUGGGCACAGGAGAGCCAAGAUAGGCUGAGCAUCGUAAAGUGUCAGACUCAGGAGAGAAACAACAUGUUUGUUUACUGAGUACCCUGAAUUACCCGUGCUCCAGGCAAGGGAUGUCAUUUUUCUUCUUCAUCCCACAUCUUUUCUUCUGAUGCUUAGUGAUUAGCAUACACCUUUGGGUGUGAUUUGUUGUGGAAAUACUGGAGCUACAGCCAAGGUUUAUGAAUUGUAAUUAAGUUUCUAAAAGGAUCUCUCUCCUCACCGGAUCUUUAGUGCUCCAAAAUACCCCCACAAACAAAAUGCUGUCCCUCUGUUUCUGUGGCAUGGAAUGUUUCUGAACAUGGAUCUUCCCCAUCCUAAGGAUUAAGAAGAUGGAAAGCCAUUAAUGCUUCCUAAGAGCUUGCAGAACUGGGUUUUGUGUGGAGCCACCAUUAGGAGUUUCAAGAAUCAGCAACUAUGUUGUCACAGUCAGCAAAAAGCUCCAGACCUGGAAAUAAAUGUAGCCAUUCCUCUUAGUCAUUGAAUUUGUUGACUCAUUUUACUCAUAUUUACCAAGAUUAUGCUGGAGGUUUGUCAGCAGGAGCCAUGAAUCACACAGUCAUUCUUCUUGCAGCACUAUGUGUCUCCUGUACUCAAGGUUCUGUGGCCCUGAUCAGUGAUGGAAGAAAUCAAGCAGAUGCCAAUCACACCUCGAGCCAUUCCAAGGAGUGGCCAAAGCCCACAUGCUCGUUUUUCUUUCUUUAGUUCAGAGACAGGAGAGAGUGAAACACUGAAAUGUCAGGGGAAACUGUUCCUCCCUUUGUUACUUCUCCAAAAGACUACUUGGCCUUUUUCACUGAGAUCACCUUGUUUAACCUGUACCUCAUCUAAUUCUGCAGAGAGACUUUCUGCCUCAGUUACAUGAUCAUUUGCCUGUCUGCUGUUGACAGUCCUUUAGAGAACUCAGUUAUACUCACUCGUCUUGAACAAGGUGAAUGUGGAGGGAGAAAUGAGAGAGUGAGAUGAGAAGAAAAUGCAGGUUUGUUGAAUUUGGAAGCAACAAGACACACAUCACACCCCAACCUUCUGUUGAAAUGAGCUUAUCCACCAUCCUUUCUCUAUCCUACAUGAGUGCCUUGGAAGGUUGCAGGAAGCAAACAUGGGAGGAGAACCCAGACUGCAGCUCUGAAAGAACCUGUACUGCAAGUCAGGAAGAUGGAGCCCAUUCUGAUUUUACACAUUUGAGAUUUCUUUCAGAGAAAGGGAAUUGUAGGGUAAUCCCUCACCUUCCUGGCCCCUAUUCCCAUCCAUGUUCUGCUUCCUUUGUCCCUUGUUAACAGGGUAAGUGCUGAAGGAAUAGCAAUAAGGAUACAAAAAAUGCCCAAUUCAGAAACAGUUCUCUUUGUCUAUCAGUCAUGGACACCGCAAAGAAGGAAUAGGUACAGGUCACUUCAUCUCUGUUUUUUAUUUCAUAGUCAAAGGAAAUACAAGCAUGCUCUCCUUAUUGUCAAGAGAGUACAGAAUUUCCUUUCCCUCUCUUUGCAAAGAGAAAACACUUGUAAGGCCAACAUAAAUCCAAAUAAAUUCUUGCAAUUCCUAUCCAUCAUAUCCAUCACCAAACUUAUAUCCUUAGUUAUUUUUCUCCCAAUGUAUUAUAUACUACUGUAGGAAAAAGGUGUUAUUAAAAUCCGUGCGUCUAUGA